UGCUGUUUGAUGUGAAAGGGGAACUCACCCUUUUUCCUUUCACGACUAAUCUUCCUCCUCCGCUGCGAGCCCAGCAAACGCGCGCGAAGAGAGCUGCGUGGGCCGCCGGGUGCGGUUGGAACCUCUCGGCCCGGCCCAGCGAGUCUCUCUUCCCAUUGGCUGGCAGGGCAAGGGGCGCUGCUCCCACGCUGGCGCUCGGUGCCUGAGCCUCAGACCCGCUCUACCGCGCACUGCUCCUAGGAGAAGAUAACCUGGUGCAAUAUAAGAUCCUCUGCGUGCGGUGCACCUCGGGGACACAGCCUCCUUCCUUUCCUGAGAACUCAACCUGGGGGAAGCGGGGGUCUGGGAGUUGGAACCUGGCUCCAGAUGACCUUUCGCAUACUGGCUGACUCCCAAUUAGCAGCAGCCCUUUAUUCCUCCAUCCAAUAAUCCAUGUAAUUAUUGAGCACCUACUUCGUGCCUGCCAGUUUUCCGGGCCCUCUCCAGCCGCGAACAAAACAUCCGAAGUCUUGCUCCCGCCUCCCUCUCUGGCGCUUUCAUUGUAUUGAAGGGGCACAGACAUUGAACUGUAGUGUAUCAGAUGGUGAUCAUUGCCGUGGAGAAAAACAGAGUGGGGUAACAGACUUUGUGCUGGAGCUCUUCCACAGAAAGAAGUCCUUCUGAGGAAAGACAUUGCUUGUCCCUUACUGCGUUAUUAUUUUAAAAAUUCUGUUUUGUCUUUUUUCUAUUACUUUUGCUAAAAUUUAAUUUUUCAGGCCUCCUUUUUCUCAAAAUUCUAAACAAUAAAAUGGAAAAUGAAAGUCUUCUUAAUUAACAACUACUAACAAAAAGGCAUCUCAGAAAAGGUUUUGAGAUGUCUCCUCAUGCCCCUGCAGCUGGAAGGAGAGACACCAUUCUUCUUCAUGAAAUUAAUAAGGUGUGAAGUUAAUAAGGGCAAUUAAAAGCAUAUUCAUCAGCUGGGGAUAAGGAUGACAAAGCUCAUAAUUAGUUUUUGUUAAUUUUCUCUGGACAUUUUUUAUCAAUAUAUAAAGUCUCUCUCUUUAUUUGAUUCUUAACUUUCGGUUAGCUUUCUGCAGGAUUGAAAUUUCUGCUUUUUUGUUUGCCUGGUAGCUUUUUGACAAAG
rnacentral:lncRNA from 1 species